AGGCAGGGAGGUUAACUAGGACUGAGCCUGGUUGACUACCCUACACUGGGGGAAGGGAAAAGAGGAGGGAACGAUUAGGAGAACAAGAGAAAGUCCACUGCGUAUAUAAUUCUGUCACUCU
rnacentral:lncRNA from 1 species